ensembl:lncRNA
GGACAGAAUUGAGAUACUAAACUACAUUUUUAAUCAGAGUAAUAAAACAUCUUGUCAUGUACAUGGUGGUGUGACGAACGCCUCUGAACGUCUGGUGCCUGGGCCGUGUGAACUGCACUGAGCACCAGCUCGCACUUUGGUCAUAAUUGCUGUGUUAAGGUUCUCAUUGAGUGUGUGACAUGUAGCCGGACUUUUCCAGGGCCGCUGGGGAGAAUCGUCCUGGCAUUUCGCACCGGCUCGCGUACUUUCCAGGCCUGCUGCCACCCCAGUCCCCACAGACAUGAUGGGCAAGAUGGUGUCAGAGGGUUCCUUCAUAUCACUGCUCGAAGUGAAGAUUCCUUAUUGUGUGAGGAGAGCUUUUCUCUGCCGGGGCGAGACGCAGCUUCAUGCACACGCUCACCAAAACGGGAGGACACGCCGGCAGCCAGUGGAUUUUAGCACCAUGGACUCCGGUUCACUUGUAGGAUGGAUUGUUGUUUUUGCCGUUUCAGAGCUGUGUCAGGCUGAAGUGCCCUCCACUGAGUUGCCCAUCCCCCCAGGCCAGGAUGAGACGCCCUUCCCCAGUUUCUCAGCUGCUGAGAUGGCUGUGAAAGCUUCAAUAGAAAAAGCAGUCAAGGAUGCAAUAGAACACAGCGUAGGGGUGGAAGCCCAGGAUCAGGAGGUGACUGAGAAAAAGCCCUCAGCAACCGAAGAGACGUUGGGGAUGGAUGAGGCCGAUCCCGAGGGCCAGGAUCCUCUGGAGGAAGGGAGUGAGGUGAAGGAGACGAAAUCAAGGAGCACUGCCGAGGUGGAGGUAUCCAUGGAGAAGCCUGGUGGAGAUGAGGCCAUAGAAGAAGAUGCUGAGGAAAGGUGGGGAGCUGUAGCAACAACAGCAUCAUGGGAAGUGAAAGGUGGAGAAGGGGGAACCUGGGUGGAUGUGGUGAGAGGAGGAGAUGCAGUAGCUGUGAGCGAGGAUGGAGGAGAUGGAGAGGAACUGGGGCUCCUUCUUAAUGAGGCCGAGACCAGAGAAGAGAGAGGAGAGGUGCCAGAUGGAGAUACAGCUGCACCCAGCCAGGGCGAGACCCAGCUGGUAAUGCCUGGACCUCAUGGUGCACAAAGCUCAGACAGUACUGAGGAAAAUGUGGAGAGAACAAAAGGUGGAGAGGAAGAGGAGGCGGAUCAGCAAACAGGAGCUGAAGGAGGAGCAGGACCACAGGACGGUGAAGAGGGGGCUAGAGCAUCACAGAUACCAGAGCACAGCAGAACAGAAGAUGAAGGAAUCGUCGUCGGGGAGGAAGUCAUGCCAGUUAUGUCACAUGGCCUGAUUGGCAGCCCCUAUGACAAUGUAAUGGAUGCAGAGAUGGCCACAGAGAUCAACCACGCCAAUGAGAUUAUAACUUCCCAUGAACACCUGCUGCUGAACUCAGACGAUGACCAGGCCCUGCCCACUCUGAGGAACAAUUUAGAUCAACGUACUGCAUCACCAUUAGAGGGAUUAGAAGAGGAGGUAGAGGAUGAAGAUGAAGAAGAUAUUGAAGGAGACCUAAACGAACUAGUAGAACCUAACAAGCCUUCAGAAAAUUCCACUGGGGGUCACGAUGCUUGGAAAAUCGGGGCGAUCGCAGCAGCUUUCUUCCUUGUCCUUCAAACUGUUGUCACCAUUGUCUACAUACUGAAGUGCAGAAAAAGACCACACAGAUCCACUGCUCCACUGAGAUUGUAUGAAGAGGGAGGAGUAUCUGCUAAUUCCAGAGCCUCAAACAACAUGAGCG